rnacentral:rRNA from 1 species
GUGUCAGCCGCCGCGGUAAUACGAAGGGGGCUAGCGUUGUUCGGAAUUACUGGGCGUAAAGGGCGCGUAGGCGGUACUUCAAGUCAGGCGUGAAAGCCCCGGGCUCAACCUGGGAACCGCGCUUGAGACUGGAGAACUAGAGUUCGGGAGAGGAUGGUGGAAUUCCCAGUGUAGAGGUGAAAUUCGUAGAUAUUGGGAAGAACACCGAUGGCGAAGGCAGCCAUCUGGACCGACACUGACGCUGAGGCGCGAAAGCGUGGGGAGCAAACAGGAUUAGAUACCCCGGUAGUCC